GACGAACGCUGGCGGCGUGCUUAACACAUGCAAGUCGAACGAGGUCCAACCAGUGGCAACACUGGAGAAGACCUAGUGGCGAACGGGUGAGUAACACGUGAGAAACCUUCCCCGAAGACUGGGAUAAGCCCUCGAAAGGGGGUCUAAUACCGGAUGUCCUCUUCACGUCGCAUGGCGAGAGGAGGAAAUGGUCCGCCGCUUCGGGACGGUCUCGCGGCCUAUCAGCUUGUUGGUGAGGUAACGGCUCACCAAGGCAACGACGGGUAGCUGGUCUGAGAGGACGAUCAGCCACACUGGGACUGAGACACGGCCCAGACUCCUACGGGAGGCAGCAGUGGGGAAUCUUGCGCAAUGGGCGAAAGCCUGACGCAGCAACGCCGCGUGCGGGA
rnacentral:rRNA from 1 species